rnacentral:rRNA from 1 species
CGCGUAGGUAUCUAUCCUUGGGUGGGGGACAACUGUGGGAAACUACAGCUAAUACCGCAUGAUGACCCCGGCUGUGGUGGCUGGGGUCCAAAGCUCGCGAGAGCGCCUGGGGAGGAGCCUGCGUACGAUUAGCUCGUUGGUGGGGUAACGGCCUACCAAGGCGACGAUCGGUAGCUGGUCUGAGAGGAUGAUCAGCCACACUGGGACUGAGACACGGCCCAG